GAGGAGGAGGAAGAGGAGGAAGAAGGGAUUGCCGCGCUGGACGGCGACCAGAUGGAGCUAGGGGAGGAGAACGGGGCGGCGGGGGCGGCCGACUCGGGCCCGAUGGAGGAGGAGGAGGCCGCCUCGGAAGACGAGAACGGCGACGAUCAAGGUUUCCAGGAAGGAGAGGACGAGCUCGGAGACGAGGAGGAAGGCGCGGGCGACGAGAACGGGCACGGGGAGCAGCAGCCUCAACCGCCGGCGACGCCGCAGCAACAGCCCCCACAGCAGCGCGGGGCCGCCAAGGAGGCCGCGGGGAAGAGCAGCGGCCCCACCUCGCUGUUCGCGGUGACGGUGGCGCCGCCCGGGGCGAGGCAGGGCCAGCAGCAGGCGGGAGGUAAGAAGAAGGCGGAAGGCGGCGGAGGCGGCGGUCGCCCCGGGGCUCCGGCGGCGGGUGAGUGCUGCGUUGUACGUUGCGCGCGGCGGGAGGCCCGCGUGGGGUGGGGACCGUGCCCCAGGCCAGCCGGAGCCCCGCAGGGGGGAGGGAGCCCCGGGCGGGGGCUGCUGCGCGGUGGGGGAGGGGCAUGGGGAAUCCCGGAUUAAGCGAGAGGCCUCGGGCUCAGUGUGACGGUGGUGGCAGUGCCUCCAUUAUGUGGCUCGGGAGCCGGGGGGGAGCUGCAGCUGCCGCUGGACGGGGGGGUAGCCCUGUCGGCCCGCGGUGGCGCCGCCGCGCUGCGUGCGCGAGGUGCGGGCACAUGUCUCGGGGGGAGGGGAGAGGCCCGAGGUCCCGGGGCGGGCGCGCUUUGGCGGCUCUUCGCCGCGGUAUUGUGCAAGGAGCGCAGGGGCUCGACGUGACGUCACUUCCGGCGGGAGGAGCCGGGCGCGGAGAGUGGGGCGGAAGAUCAGUACAAUGCGGCGGCGGGGCGCGCGGGCCCGGGUAGAGUGGGGGAGGGGAGGGCGGGCCGCGCGAGCCCCGCUUGGCCCCUCCCCCCUUCCUGAACUCUCGUCGGGAUGCACGUGGGCUCCGGGCUUGGGCCGCGCUCUUUUUCUUUGGCUUUCUCGAAUUGUCUAGUAGACUGGUAAAAUUAGUAACGUCUUUAGACUGCGUCACUAAUCUCCAGUUCAAUUCCAAGCUGAUUGUUCUUUGAAUUCACAUUUGGUUCGUCGAUUAAAAGGUCCUAAAAAAAAAUAACAGGGUGAAGUCGAGGACUUCUGCGCCUUGAAACAGAAAAGGUGGUGGGUUAUUGUAUUGUUUUGAUUCUAUUUUUAAGAAAUUUUUUGGCCACUUGGCAUCUCAAAGAGUGUUGUGUGUUAUAGGAGACGGCAAAACAGAACAGAAAGGCGGAGAUAAAAAGAGAGGUGUUAAAAGACCUCGAGAAGAUCAUGGCCGAGGAUAUUUUGAGUACAUUGAAGAAAACAAGUACAGCAGGUACAGGAUACGAACCUAGUUUGGCUUGUACCCAUUCUUCAUGCUUUGGUAGGAAAAGCUAUAUCAGGAGACAAUUCUGUCUUUCAGAGCCAAGUCUCCUCAGCCACCUGUUGAAGAAGAAGAUGAGCACUUCGAUGACACAGUGGUUUGUCUUGAUACUUGUAAGUGAAGCUGAUACUCUUAUCCCCCCUGCCCCCCAGUUAUUGAAUACAGUGGUUUUUUUGGUUCCAAAAUGUUAGAAAACUUAAUGUUGAACUUAAGUGAAGAAAGCUUAGGUUAGUGUUUUCUAAAGGCAGGAAGAUAAUGGUUUUUAUUUUGGAUUCUGGUAGUAUUUAAUGUUUAGUACGACUGCACUUUCAUUGAUAAUUUAAUAGGUUGUAGCAAUUUGAUAACAUUUUAUGACUUAAACUCAUUCUUAAUGCCAAUUUUUGACUAACAGAAAAUUGUAAAACUACUUAUCACUGUCCUUAUAAGGCUUCUACGAUAAUGUCUUUUGUGUGUGGAAUUAUAUUAAGUGAGCUAUUUGGGUUUGUUAAAUAUUUACUAAUGACUUUUCCCAUUAGCACACAAGUAUAUUCCCUAUUCUAAAAGAUUGUAAUAUUACUUUUUCAAUAACUGCUCUUUUGUUCUCAAUUCCAGUUCAGUAGCUGCUGCUUUAACAUAAGUUGAUUUCUUCCAAAGACCUGGGGCAGCAGCAGUGGGCUAUCACUGGGCCACUAGCUUUCUUCAGCAGCGAAUGGUAUCCACGGCAGCGCUGUAAAUACUGCUACUUUACCCAGUUGGGCUGCAAUUGAGUAUGAGGAAGUAUUGCAAACCUCUUAAGUGGGCCUUGGCUGUCAGACUUGCAUUUUUUAAUUAUAAAAAAAUUAUUGAUUUAGUGUUUGGUCAGAAUGCACAACUCUUCGAGAUUAAUAGAAUGAAGGGUAGAAAUAAAUUCUUGAGGAGGAGGAGGUAAGGUAAUAACCUGUUCUGGUAGCUAAGAGGAGUUGAAGCUUAGAUUUUUCAUGUUUCCUUGUACGAUUGUGGAUUGUGUUAAGUGUGAAACUUGAUUUCUUUUUGAAUACCCCUUACAGGUAGUUGAGUCUUAAAACUGCAAAGUAGUUGAAUUGAAAGUUUUAUGUCAAAUUCAGUUGCUUAAAUACAAAAUUGGUAGGAAUUGGCAAGGUGCUGAAGCAGUGAUUCAGAAGGGGUAAUGUCAUUGCAUAGGAAUUGGGUUUUUAUUGCCUAUUACCAGGAGUAUUAGUUUAUUAAGGGUGAUAAUGGGUGUAGACACAAUUUGUUUAAUUAUAUAUCAAUGAUGAUCAGAAAUUUUAGGAGCAAAGCUUAUUUAAGGAGAAUUCUAAACUGAUCAGAUUGAUCAAUUCUAAAUUCUAAAUUGAUCAGAUUAAACUCUGAUCAAUUAAAACUAAAUAAAACUGCUUUCUAAAUUGAGGUUAGUUGUCUUGUCAAGGGAGAACUCUUGAGAAAAUACAUGUUAAUGAGCUAGUGACCCAAAGAUAGCUAGGUAAAAGACGAUUUGGAUAAUCCAGGAAGUGGUUAAUCUCCAAUUGUUAUAACUGGAAAGCUUCUGCAAGGGGACCUAAAAUGCUGUAGUAAACCUUUAGAUGACCAGGUUAGUGGGUUCAGGCUGUCUGAUGCACAAGUUGUAGAAAAGAAUUAAGGACCUGGAACCGGGGUGUUAAGUUACAAAGUGCAGGAUCAACAGCUCAUACUCUUUAUUUUAAAACAUUGGUGGUGGCCUCCCUUCAGUUUUAUUGUGGCACUGGUAAAUUCUACCUGGUUCUGGCAUGCUUCACUUUGAUUUCCUGCUAUCCUCUACUGCUUGCCUCUAAAUCAAGGUAAAGAGCAGAGCAGGUAUGUAUUGUCACAUUGUCUCAAUUUUGCUUAAAACACAUUAAGCCUUGGUUAAUUUAAUAGGAAGUUUAUUCUAGUACAUAAUUGACAAGUGACUUGGUGGGAGUGGGGUUUAAAUUGAAAGUUGGAACAGCAUGAUAUAUAAAAACUUAUGCAGCAUUAAAAUACUUGUAAAAACUUAACCAAAUUUUGUCUACAUAGCAGAAAUACAUAUAUUAGACGUCAAAGGAAUAAUUGGUAUUUUAUAUAAUUACAGAUAAUUGUGAUCUACAUUUUAAAAUAUCAAGAGAUCGCCUCAGUGCUUCUUCUCUUACUAUGGAGAGUUUUGCUUUUCUUUGGGCUGGAGGAAGGGCAUCUUAUGGUGUGUCAAAAGGCAAAGUCUGCUUUGAGAUGAAGGUAAAUGCAAUUUUGUGGUGUGCCCCCCACCAUUUUGGCUUUUUAAAUCAUACCUGAAAAAGCUACCGAGGAUUUUUUUAAAAACUGGCUAAAUUUUAAAGUACAAAUUUUUAAAAAAACUUCUAGCUAAUUGAAACCUUUCUUGCUCUGAGUUAAAAAGUGCUCACUUUUAAAGUUCUUAUAAAUAAAGGAUAGGGAGCAGGGAAAGAAGGAGAAUCGGGUGUCUUCUCCCCAAGUGAGAGAAGUCAGGAUUCAGGAGUUUAUCUUUCUUGAUUUACAGUUUGGUUUAAUGAUUUCACUUUUCAGGUUACAGAGAAGAUUCCUGUAAGGCAUUUAUAUACAAAAGAUAUUGACAUUCAUGAAGUUCGAAUUGGCUGGUCACUGACUACAAGUGGAAUGUUGCUUGGUAAAGUUUCCAUUUGAGUACUGAGGGCUCUGAUUAGAGUCUGAUUUCAGUUAAAGAUUUAGAAGGCUUUCUAACUAUAGUUAAACAUUCUGUUAGUAUUUUACAAAUGGGUAAUGCUAGCAUGUGGCAGACAAGCUGAAUUUUGGCUUUUCAGUGAUUUUUAAAAAAUGUAGGACAUGGUUAAAUUUUAUCCAUUACUCCGUAUUUAUGUGUAUAUAUUCAAGCUUGCUCUGGUAGAUAAGUUGAAGAUUGUUAGCUUAUUUGUACUCUACAUGUUAAGUAAUAAAAACAGUGGGGCUUUGGACUGUUUAAAAAACAUCAGUUUCAUGCAAGUUAUUUUCUUAGGUGAAGAAGAAUUUUCGUAUGGGUAUUCUCUAAAAGGAAUUAAAACGUGCAACUGUGAGACAGAAGAUUAUGGAGAGAAGUUUGAUGAAAAUGAUGUUAUUACAUGUUUUGCUGUAAGUUAUUGCUAAAAUUCGUUAUAUAAGUGAAAAUAUCGUUUAGAAAUUCUAAAAAAAUUAAGGUCUGGAUCAGCUUUUAGUAUGAUAGAUAAAAAUGCAUGCACUGGUUUUGGGUUAAAGACUAGUAGAAGUUGAAAACUGGAAAGGUAAGGGAAAUUUUUAAGGAAGCAUUUUGACAAAUUAUUAAACAUAAAAUUGGCCUGAAAAAUCUAAUCCGUCAUCUGGGGCAAUGUUUUUGAUUCUGUAUGUGUUUCAUUCUAAUGUUCAAAAAGCUGUUAGCAUUUAACCUAUAAAAAUAUUUUCUAAGGGUAAGCUUACUCCUUAUUUGAAUUUUGAUUUUUUUUUUUUUGGAAAGAUUGUAGGAAGCAGAUUCAAAUGUAAAUUUUUUUUCUUCUAUUUAACAGAACUUUGAAAAUGAUGAAGUAGAACUCUCCUAUGCCAAGAAUGGACAAGAUCUUGGCGUUGCCUUCAAAAUUAGUAAGGAAGUUCUUGCUGGACGACCACUCUUUCCGCAUGUUCUCUGCCAUAACUGUGCAGUUGAAUUUAAUUUUGGUCAGAAGGAAAAGCCAUAUUUUCCAAUACCUGAAGACUAUACUUUUAUCCAGAAUGUCCCCCUAGAGGAUCGAGUUAGAGGACCAAAGGGGCCUGAAGAGAAGAAAGAUUGUGAAGUGAGUCAUUUUAUUUUUUGUAAAUGUGGCAUUUGAAGAUUGCUUUUGUUUGACAAAAGUGUUUUAUUUGCUUUCAUAUGUUAUACCUGAUGCUCCCAGCCAAUGAUUUUUCAUUUGCCUUUAUAGAUAAUAGUAAACUUUCCAUGAACAAAUCUUGAUGUGUCAUCUAAAGAAUUUGGAUGUACUUAAAAAUGAAAUUUUUUCCACUUGCAGGUUGUUAUGAUGAUUGGCUUGCCAGGAGCUGGAAAAACUACCUGGGUUACUAAACAUGCAGCUGAAAAUCCUGGUAAAUACAACAUUCUUGGAACAAAUACCAUUAUGGAUAAAAUGAUGGUAAGUAAAAAUGUUGGGUCUGAUUUCAGCAUUUAAAGGAGGCCCAAAAAGGGGGAUAGUGGACCGCAGCUCAGUGAGAGUCCUUGCCACGAAUGUGCAAGGGUUUGGUUAUUGUCAAUCCCUAGCACUUAAAAACAAAAACAAAACAAAACAAAAACAACCUUAAUACUUAUUUAAGAAGACAUUGAAGGUAUUCUGUGUAACUCCCCCUCUUCUUAAAAUGUAUUUUGUUAAUAUAUUAGGGGGUGGGCAAAACAAAAUUAAUUAUUGGGUUACUUCAAUUAGCUCUCAAUCUGUAAGGCAAAUUGCAUUCUAGUUGAUAGGCUUAGUCAUCUUUUUCAUAGAUUUUUUUUUUUAAUUUUUUAGCAAUGAGAAGAAUUCAGUGGUCUUACAAUAUGAUAAAAAGCACUACUUUUUGAUAGCAAUAAGGGAAGUACAGUGUUCAAACAUUUAAAUUAUAAAGUGUUACUUGUUGCUUCCCAUAUAGAUCUAAGCUGGUAUUAAACACACGUGACUUGAUUCACAAAUUCAAAUGAAAAUUUUAAAUUUUAAAAAUAGGUGGCAGGUUUUAAAAAACAAAUGGCAGAUACUGGAAAACUGAACACACUGUUGCAGAGAGCCCCACAGUGUCUUGGAAAGUUUAUCGAGAUUGCUGCCCGCAAGAAACGAAAUUUCAUUCUGGAUCAGGUGAGUUGUAGCUUAGAAGUUGAAAAAAUGUUAACUGGUACUUGGUUUGGUAUGGAAUUAAUGUUUAAGGUUAUAAACUUAUUAUUUUUUUCCUUUACAAGACAAAUGUAUCUGCUGCUGCCCAGAGGAGAAAAAUGUGCCUGUUUGCAGGUUUCCAACGAAAAGCUGUUGUAGUUUGUCCAAAAGAUGAAGACUACAAGCAGAGAACACAGAAGAAAGCAGAAGUAGAGGGAAAAGACCUACCAGAACAUGCAGUCCUUAAAAUGAAAGGUGUGGAAUUGAAUUUUAUUGUUGCUGUCUUGUUUCAUUUUGUGAUCUGUAUCUGAGAAAUUAAUAUUUUGCAAGUACUUUUGUUUGAGGAAUUGCCAUUAACUCUUGGGAAUAUGAAUGUGUUUGGCUCAUUGUAAUUAUUUUCAGAAAAUUCAUUAAACCACUAAACCAUGAGUAGAUAUAGUAAUCUGUUAAAAAUUUUAAGCUAUUCAGGAAUAGGAAGUUUUAGGAUUAUGGAUACUUCCCGUGAGUUUCUGACUUAAUUUGAUUUUAUUCUUGGCAGGUAACUUUACUCUGCCAGAGGUGGCUGAGUGCUUUGAUGAAAUAACCUAUGUUGAACUUCAGAAGGAAGAAGCCCAAAAACUUCUGGAACAGUAUAAGGAAGAAAGCAAAAAGGCACUUCCACCAGAAAAGAAACAAAACACUGGCUCAAAGAAGAGCAAUAAAAACAAGAGUGGCAAGAACCAGUUUAACAGAGGUGGUGGCCAUAGAGGACGUGGAGGAUUCAAUAUGCGUGGUGGAAACUUCAGAGGGGGAGGUAAGUUAAAUUUGAAUAUUGUGUUUAAUUCAAGAUUGAAGUGGGAGAAUCUUGUAACUUGGGUCUGUAACUUAAACAGAAGUUUGUUUCUCAUUGAUCUAUGCUGCCAUCGAAGUAACUAAUUUAAAAUUUUAGUGUGAUUUGAUUCUAAACAAAACUAGGUUGUGUAAAUGCUUAAAAUUAUCUUUUAAUGCUUUUAUCUUAAAAUAUUUAUUUGUAACUAAAAUAAGAAAUGGGCCAGAAGAGGCCUAACUGGGUACCUACUUCCUUGCUUUUAGCUCCUGGGAAUCGUGGUGGAUAUAAUAGGCGGGGCAAUAUGCCACAGAGAGGUGGUGGUGGCGGCGGAAGUGGUGGAAUUGGCUAUCCAUAUCCUCGUGGCCCUGUUUUUCCUGGCCGAGGUGGCUACUCAAACAGAGGGAACUACAACAGAGGUGGAAUGCCCAACAGAGGGAACUAUAACCAGGUAAUGAUAAACAGGCACUGAUGGUCUGUAAUUUAGUCUGUAAAAUUAUAGGCUAAUGUUGAGGAACCUCAAUAAGCAACUAAGGAAAAUGGUGUGUUUGCAUUGAUGUGAGAAAAAAUUUAAUAUUGUAAUGGUAAAACAAAUUCAUUUAUUGGUUUUUCCAGGUAUACUAAGUAGCAAAAACAGGUGGAUUUUUACAAAGAUUUAAAAAUCUAUGAGAAACCUGCAGAAGGGUACCUAGGGCUAUUUCCCCAAAUUAAUGUCUAGCAAGUUGUCCAUUUCUGCCCACUCCCACUUCCCAAUCACGAUCCCUGCAGGCAUGAUAAAUUCUUGGUUAAGACUUAAAAGAUUUUUUUUCCUUUUUGUAGAACUUCAGAGGACGAGGAAACAAUCGUGGCUAUAAAAAUCAAUCUCAGGGCUACAACCAGUGGCAGCAGGGUGUAAGUAAUUUCUUACAUGAUUACAUUAAUUGUAUUUUGAGUAAAAAUCAGUCUCGAAAAGAUCUUGUCCAGGGAUUGAAGUGUUUGUAAACCUUAAUAAGGCAAGGUAUGAAUUGUGUUGUAGUCCAUAAAUAGGUUUGAGUUUGCCAUAACUUACUAUUUUUAACGAAGUAAUAUUUUAAUAUACAGUUCUUUGCUAGCAUUAAUUGUGUAAACUAACCAAGUCAUGAUGUGUUUCUUUUUGUAAUGUGUAUUGAUAAAUAAUGGGAUAAUAAAACUAAAUCUGGUUUGAUAGAAAUCAGAGGUAUGACAAGUAUAAUUUAUUUCCAGCAUUUACUCUGAAUUAGAUUCAUUGUCAUUUCCUAAAAGCAAUUUGAGUGGCUUAUUGAUGUUUUUUCUUUAAAAAAAAAAUUUUCUCUUACAGCAAUUCUGGGGUCAGAAGCCAUGGAGUCAGCAUUAUCACCAAGGAUAUUAUUGAAUACCCAAAUAAAACGAACUGAUACAUAUUUCUCCAAAACCUUCACAAGAAGUCGACUGUUUUCUUUAGUAGGCUAACUUUUUAAACAUUCCACAAGAGGAAGUGCCUGCGGGUUCCUUUUUUAGAAGCUUUGUGGGUUGAUUUUUUUUUUCUUUUCUUUUUUGUACAUUUUUAAUUGCAGUUUUAAAGUGAAUCGUAAGAGAACCUCAGCAUUGUGCACGAUAAGAGAAUGUGUCAGUAUUUCAGGGUUCUACAUUUUAUCUGUAAAAUGUGACUUUUUUUUUUAUCACAACAAAAGUAAAAUGUUGCUUUGUACCUGGUGUCUUUUAUUAAGAAUUUACUCCCCUAUUUCUCACAGAGAAUAACAGUCGGGAGUCAUUGUCACAAUAUAAUAGAAAUGUUAGCAACCAGAUUCAUGUAAGGACUAAGUGGUCCUCAUGAAUUGCAUUAAGACUCUGUACUGCUCAAUAUUACACUCCAUCCUCUCUCUAGUUUGCUGGGUAGUAGUGGAGGGGAUAAGCUAAAUAGUAAUUUCCAAUAAAGACUGGGAAGGCUUUUUCAGUUUAAAUGACAAUGGAAUUGGCAUAAUUGGGAAUGAAGCUAAAACUUGAAACCAACAUGGAGAAGAUGGAGUGUAUGUAGAAGGGCUGUUAAAAAUGUAAAACUUGGUUGCAUUAUUUGUGGAGGCUCAAACUUGUGAAGGUUAAAAUACCAUAAUUUUUCCAUUUGUUCUGCAUUUUGAUUCUGAAAAGAAAGCUGGCUUUGCCCAUUUCUUAUUAAAAAACUUGUUGUAAAUCCAGUUGUCUAAUGGGAUCUAUAUGAAGUUAGCUAUGUCUGUAUGCCCUUCUCCCACAAAAUACUGUAUAACUAGUGUGCUUGUAGUAGUUAACUCCACCAUCUUUGUAAGCUAAUGAAAUUGUGAGUCACCCAUUUAUAUCUUAAUUUUUAAUCAUGUCAGUUCUUGAAUGGGUAUCUCCUUAGCCUGCUGAUUUCUUUUUCUUUCUAAAGAAAGUGGGUGGAGAAAUUAAUUUAGACGUUUGUUUGCAAUAAAAAGAAUUCAUUUUACUCUUGUUUUGGGAUUCUCGCCAUCAAGGUUCAAAAUCCCUUUAUACAACUCCCAAGAGGAGAAAUUUUAAGUGUGUGCUUUCUGG
rnacentral:lncRNA from 1 species